rnacentral:rRNA from 1 species
AUUGAACGCUGGCGGCAGGCCUAACACAUGCAAGUCGAGCGAACGGCGGACGGGUGAGUAAUGUAUGGGGACUGCCCGAUAGAGGGGGCUAACUCCUGGAAACGGUGGCUAAUACCGCAUACUAUCGGAUAACCCAUAUGGGAUUAGCUUGUGGGUGGGGUAAAGGCUCACCUAGGCGAGGAUCUAUAGCUGGUCUGAGAGGAUGAUCAGCCACACUGGGACGGAGACACGGCCCAGACUCCUAGGGAGGAAGCAGUGGGGAAUAUUGCAAAAUGGGCGCAAGCCUGAUGCAGCCAUGCCGCGUGUAUGAAGAAGGCCUUAGGGUUGUAAAGUACUUUCAGCAGGGAGGCGUUACCCGCAGAAGAAGCACCGGCUAACUCCGUGCCAGCAGCCGCGGUAAUAC